rnacentral:rRNA from 1 species
GACGAACGCUGGCGGCGUGCUUAACACAUGCAAGUCGAACGGAAAGGCCCUGCUUUUGUGGGGUGCUCGAGUGGCGAACGGGUGAGUAACACGUGAGUAACCUGCCCUUGACUUUGGGAUAAAUUCAGGAAACUGGGGCUAAUACCGGAUAGGAGCUCCUGCUGCAUGGUGGGGGUUGGAAAGUUUCGGCGGUUGGGGAUGGACUCGCGGCUUAUCAGCUUGUUGGUGGGGUAGUGGCUUACCAAGGCUUUGACGGGUAGCCGGCCUGAGAGGGUGACCGGCCACAUUGGGACUGAGGUACGGCCCAGACUCCUACGGGCGGCAGCAGUGGGGAAUAUUGCGCAAUGGGCGGAAGCCUGAUGCAGCAACGCCGCGUGCGGGAUGACGGCCUUCGGGUUGUAAACCGCUUUCGCCUGUGACGAAGCGUGAGUGACGGUAAUGGGUAAAGAAGCACCGGCUAACUACGUG